UACGAAGGGGGCUAGCGUUGCUCGGAAUCACUGGGCGUAAAGGGUGCGUAGGCGGGUCUUUAAGUCAGGGGUGAAAUCCUGGAGCUCAACUCCAGAACUGCCUUUGAUACUGAGGAUCUUGAGUUCGGGAGAGGUGAGUGGAACUGCGAGUGUAGAGGUGAAAUUCGUAGAUAUUACGCAAGAACACCAGUGGCGAAGGCGGCUCACUGGCCCAUUACUGACGCUGAGGCACGAAAGCGUGGGGAGCAAACAGG
rnacentral:rRNA from 1 species